UGAAAAAUGAAAAAGUGAAAAAUUUCAUAUAAAGUUACAUGAUUGACCCCCUAAUUUUAAUGAGAUGAUAAAGCAAUACUCUAGGACAUUACUUUUUUAUGGGUUUAUCUUUAUUAUCAGGGAUGCCAGAAUGAGAUUUCAGGAGAGGAAUGCAUUUCAUAAUUUGGGAAUUCAAAACGAAUUAUUUUUUAGAAUGUCUAAAAAACGGCAUACAGAAUGUCUAAAAGACAUCUUGUAAGACAUCUAAAAAAAAGACGUGUAAAACAAACCGAUACAGGAUUGAAGGAAGAAGACAACAAAAGGAAUAGAAGAAGGAGAAAGAGAAAAAAUGUGUGUGAUGGAGACGGAACAAUAAGAAGGAGGAAAGAAGAAGUUAAAUCAGGGAUAACUGGUUAAGGACAGAUAGAUAAUUGUCAGGCAAAAGAUUCGUGUCGCUCUGUUUAUUGAGACCGUGUUGUUUUUGAUGUAAAAAAAUUUCAAUAAAAAUUUAAUAAAUUGGCGA